rnacentral:lncRNA from 1 species
UUUAUACCCCAAGGCUCAAAAACUAGCCGUUGGCACUCUGAUCAGACUGGUCUAGCUGACCGGUCUAUAUUGAAAACUAGUCGUUGCCCCGAAGACCGGUCUGACCGGUCUGGCUGGGACAACCCCAAAUCUUCCAAGACUUACCCUUGUUUGACCCAAAGGAUAGGCUAACCCUAGUUAGAUGAAUUGAAACUUGUUUAGCUCACUCAGGGUAUCUCUCAUGGCAAAACUCUCAUAGGUCAACUAAGAGCACUUUUGGUGUUGUCAAUUAGCUAAUGUUGCAUCCCUUUUGAUAAUACGGCAUACCUAUACUCAAGAGUAAAUAUAAACACCAUAUCAUCCACUUGAGCUUAUAAGUCUUCAUUCUUGCCAUACUUUGAUCUUUAGUUACUUGAGGGCUUACAACAUAGUCUUCAACUUGGGCAUAUCCAUCUUGAGCUAGUGACUUAAGAUCCCCUUUUGUCCAUGAUAAAGUAUAUUUGAAUUCUUAAGCCACUCCAUUUUACCAACCAUAAUGGAUUAGAUGCAUUGCAUUGCUUCCCUCAGUAAGGCCUAUAAAUGAUAUCUUGAAACCCCCUGAUACUAGCCGCUUCACCCUAACAAAAUGCACAUGGCCCAAGCCGUCGCUUGUCCAAAGGUUGCUUAGUCCCUCACCUCUAGCACCUCGUUUGAUUUCUUCACCCAUUCUUGCCACUUUGAGUUUAGCUUUUCUUUGACAUCAACAAUGAAAUCUCAUUUGAAAUUCUCUUCAAAUGCUUGUUCUAGAUUGUAAAGAAUCUCUCAUGAAUUGCAAGCUUCCACUAAUAAAACCAAUGUGUAGAUCAUAUGCUCAUGUCUUUUAACAUGUCCUCAUGAAGUCUUGCAAUUGUCCUUCUAUGAAUAUUUUUGUACUUUUCUUAAUGACCCCUUUUCUUUUGAUCAAACAAGCUAUCACAUGUCUUGGGAAAUUAUAGAUCAAUCAUUAUGAAACACAUCCUCAAGCUUCAUUCUACUCUUGCUUUAUUAUUGUUCUUUUAUUUGUGCCAUGGGAUCACACACUUGCUUGCUAUCUUCAUUGAGAGCCAUACUCAUUCACCUCAUAAGUCAAUAUUACAACAUGAGUAUAAGAAUAAAAAAACCUGCUCACAAUCUUAGGCGAACAAGUUAGUCCUUUAAUCGUUUUGUCAUUCAAUUCACCAAAACCUACUUAGG